GACGAACGCUGGCGGCGUGCUUAACACAUGCAAGUCGAACGGAAAGGCCCUGCUUGCAGGGUACUCGAGUGGCGAACGGGUGAGUAACACGUGGGUGAUCUGCCCUGCACUUCGGGAUAAGCCUGGGAAACUGGGUCUAAUACCGGAUAGGAGCCAUUUUUAGUGUGAUGGUUGGAAAGUUUUUUCGGUGUAGGAUGAGCUCGCGGCCUAUCAGCUUGUUGGUGGGGUAAUGGCCUACCAAGGCGGCGACGGGUAGCCGGCCUGAGAGGGUGGACGGCCAAAUUGGGACUGAGAUACGGCCCAGACUCCUACGGGAGGCAGCAGUGGGGAAUAUUGCACAAUGGGCGCAAGGCUGAUGCAGAGACGCCGCGUGGGGGAUGACGGCCUUCGGGUUGUAAACUCCUUUCGCUAGGGACGAAGCUUUUUGUGACGGUACCUAGAUAAGAAGCACCGGCUAACUACGUG
rnacentral:rRNA from 1 species